UCAAGCAAGAAGAGGUUUGCGGCGGAUGCCUGGGAGCUGUCCGGCGAAGAAGGCCGCGGUAAGCUGCGAAAAGCUGCGGGGAGGAGCACACAUCCUGAGAUCCGCAGAUAGCCGAAUGGGGUAACCCGUAUGUCGCAAGGCAUACACCGCGCGCGGGAAGAAGAUACUGCGGCGGAGCGAUACUGCGUGAAGUGAACCAUCUAAGUAACGCGGGAAGAGAAAUCAAAAGAGAUUGCGCAAGUAGCGGCGAGCGAACGCGCAGGAGCCUAAACCCUUAUGUAGGGUGUUGCAGGGCCGCACGGGGAUGACCCGUGGAGUUGGUGAGAAAACCGAUAUGUAGCGGAAGCGUCUGGAAAGGCGCGCGAGACAGCGUGAAAGCCGCGUAUGCGAAAGAUAUCGGACUCCAUGGUGCGGUACCUAAGUAGGGCGGGGCACGAGAAACCCUGUUUGAAUCCGGGUCGACCACGAUCCAAGGCUAAAUACGAGACAGCUACCGACAGCGAAGAGUACCGUGAGGGAACGGCGAAAAGAACCCCGGUGAGGGGAGUGAAAGAGAACCUGAAACCGCAAACCGACAAGAUGUCACGGCGCGUGAGCGUUGUGGCGUGUCUUUUGUAGAAUAAACCUGCGAGUUGCGAUGCGCGGCGAGGCUAAGGGUUGGGAGAUCCGGAGCCGGAGCGAAAGCGAGUGUGAAAAGUGCGAAAAGUCGCGUGUCGCAGACCCGAAGCCAAGGUGAUCUAAUUAUGGGCAGGCUGAAGGCAGGGUGAAACCUGUUGGAGGGCCGAACAGUAAUCUGUUAAAAAAGGUAGUGAUGACCUGUGAUUAGGAGUGAAAGGCUAAACAAACCUGGAAAUAGCUGGCUCUCCCCGAAAUGCCUUUAGGGACAGCCUCAUGCAAAGCGGAAGGAGGUAAAGCACCGGAUGGGAUAGGGGGCGUCACAGUCUACCGACACCAAUCGAACUCAGAAUGCCAUCCGCCAACGCAUGGGAGUGAGACUGUGUGCUCCAAGGUUCAUAGUCGAGAGGGAAACAGCCCGGACCGACGGCAAAGGUCCCGAAAUAACGCUCAGUGUGAAAUGAGGUGCGUCUGCACAGACAGCCAGGAGGUUGGCUCAGAAGCAGCCAUUCCUUAAAAGAGUGCGUAACAGCUCACUGGUCGAGCAGGCGUGCGCAGACAAUGUAACGGGGCUAAGCGUUAUACCGAAGCCGCGGGCCCGCAUUGUAAGAUGCGGGCGGUAGGGGAGCAUUGCGCUAACCGGAGAAGGCGUACCUGUGAGGGGCGCUGGAGGAAGCGGAAGAGAGAAUGCAGGCACAAGUAACGAAAAGACGGGUGAGAUUCCCGUCCGCCGAAAGCCUGAGGAUUCCCGGGUAAAGGCAAUCUGCCCGGGGUAAGUCGGCCCCUAAGGCGAGGACGAAAGUCGUAGUCGAUGGGAAAUCGGUUCAAAAUCCGAUACCCGAUUCAGUUUUGAAGGCAGGACGCAUGAGGUGAAAUCCGGCAGAAGAACGGUAGUUUCUGUCCAAGCGGUAAGGUGUUGAGAGGGCGGUUAAAAGAGCCCUUGAGCUGAGCCGUUACGGGGAGCGGAGCGCAGGCGAAGCGAAGCGGAUGUAAUCAAGGUGCCGGGAAAUACUGUCUAAAGCUAGGCUGAGUCGGACCGUACCGGAAACGGACACACGCAGGCAGGAUGAGUAAUCUAAGGCGCACGAGCGACCCCGCGUUAAGGAACUCGGCAAAAAGCACACGUAACUUCGGAAGAAGUGUGGCUCACGCUGAUAAGGAUGUGAGCGGCAGAAAGCAGGCCCAGGCGACUGUUUACCAAAAACACAGCCAUCUGCGAACCGGCAACGGGACGUAUAGGUGGUGACACCUGCCCGGUACCGGAAGGUUAAGGGGAGGGGUUAGCAGGAAUGCGAAGCUCCGAACCGAAGCCCCGGCAAACGGCGGCCGUAACUAUAACGGUCCUAAGGUAGCGAAAUUCCUUGUCGGGUA
rnacentral:rRNA from 1 species